rnacentral:rRNA from 1 species
AUUGAACGCUGGCGGCAGGCCUAACACAUGCAAGUCGAGCGGAUGAAGGGAGCUUGCUCCUGGAUUCAGCGGCGGGCGGGUGAGUAAGGCCUAGGAAUCUGCCUGGGAGUGGGGGAUAACGUCCGGGAACGGGCGCUAAUACCGCAUACGGCCUGAGGGAGAAAGUGGGGGAUCUUCGGACCUCACGCUAUCAGAUGAGCCUAGGUCGGAUUAGCUAGUUGGUGGGGUAAAGGCCUACCAAGGCGACGAUCCGUAACUGGUCUGAGAGGAUGAUCAGUCACACUGGAACUGAGACACGGUCCAGACUCCUACGGGAGGCAGCAGUGGGGAAUAUUGGACAAUGGGCGAAAGCCUGAUCCAGCCAUGCCGCGUGUGUGAAGAACGUCUUCGGAUUGUAAAGCACUUUAAGUUGGGAGGAAGGGCAGUAAGUUAAUACCUUGCUGUUUUGACGUUACCAACAGAAUAAGCACCGGCUAACUUCGUG